rnacentral:misc_RNA from 1 species
CCUUUUGGACUCUCUAUGUUUGAGAUGGACUGGGGGGUAACUCCAGCAUGUUAACCAUAGACAGUUUAUAUAAGGAGUUGGUGAUCUGGUGACUUGGUGGCGUGUGUUGGGAGGGUGUGUCCCAGAGAAUGGGAUUGGGGACUCGGGGUCGGAGCUCAGCCUGUCUAGAUUUCAGGUUUCGCACGGUUGCCAAGUCCUGGGAUGGACUGGGGGAGACAAGGCCUCUGCAGCAGGCGAGUCUCCAAGUCUCCAAGUUGCCUGGGGCUGUGUCCAUGCUGCAUCAGGACCGAGUGCUUGAGUGUCUGAGCAGAUGCAUGCAUGCAACUCUGGUGCGGUGGCCAGAGGUCUCAAGGUGACAAAGUUCAGCUGGCAGGCUGAUGGUAGUCAUACCGAGUGCUGAGCACUCCUCUGACUGCAGCACGUCUGCCAGCAUCCUUGUGUGAGCUCUGGGCGACCGACUG